AGUAAGCGUGGUAUGGUAUCAACAUUCAUAACAGCAUUUGCUAUAGAUUUAGCAGAACAUUGGGCGUGAUCACGUUAUCUCCUAUGAGGACAGUGCGUGUGAAUCGUGAAUGCAGCAGUUUUGAAAUCGAUGUAGAUUAUCCCAAUACUGUGCCGACCCAUAAAACAAUAACGAUGAGGUUGGAAAAACUUAAGAAAAUCGUGCUGCAGAUGUUCAUACAAAACUUCCAAAGGGAGAAAAAGUUGCAAUUACCACAGACUCGUGGACCCCAUUCCCCAAUCUUCCCAUAGGUGGAAGGCUUUUUUCACUUGAAAUUGAUCUGUAAGCUUUUGGACCGAACGGCCGUUUAUGUUACAGUUUUUAUUUGUAUGUUGGAACUACUGCACUAAAGUAAAGGACCUCUGAGACACACUUCAAACAGUCACUGUCCCAUCGGCGUCUCCAUCCAGUUUGGGGAGAGCCUGAACUUCAGGUGCUGAAAUUCUGAGGCACACGUCAGAGACUGAUCAGUACAGCAGAAGAGGCUACAGAGCUACUGCAAGUCCAGGCUAACUACUACUGUGAUGCAAAACGUUUGUCCAGAGCAGUGCAGAGGAAUGGUCUCACCGUUCCAGGCAGAGCGGUGCUUCUCCUUGGCCUCCUGCCCCAGAGCCUCAGCCUCCUCCUUGGUCCUGCGCCUCGCCUCCGCCUCACUCUCCAAGGCUCUUUGGGAUUCCUGGAGCUUCUCCAGCUUUCUCUGUCAAACGCAAUCCAAGAUUAAGCCAGUUAGCUUCUGAAUCAAUGUCCUUACCCUUAUAAAAGUUCACUGCAGUAUUUUUGCACUAUAUUUAUACCUUGCUUUUCCCAUGGUUACACUAUGCAUUUACCAUAGCUUACCCUGGUUUGCCAUGUUUAUUAAUAUGCUUUACCAUACCUCUCUUUGCUUUACAAUGCUUACCUAUACUUUACCAUGGUGUCACUGUGCUUUAUUACACUUUGCUUUUAUUAUGGGAAACUUGUAUAAGGGUAGUUACAGUGCACAGCAGUUGAUUUGAUCAGCAUAUACCCUGCAUUAAAAAGCCACAGCUGCAUUUUUUUAAACAUCUCUAUAUCGGUUGAUCAAAUCAACACCGUUUCUUGCAGAACGAAGUCGGGCAGCCUUUGCACUUUCAGUCUCAUUUUCAUCUUCUGUGCUUCUCAAACUCUCAAUCCCAGGUCUCUCAAAGCUGACAUUUCAAUGCUCUGCGUUUUUAAUCCUCAGGGUCUCUCUGAACCAGAACCUCAAGCCUUCACAGCAGUGUUUUGACACAGAUACAUUCAUCUUGGUUUAAAAACCUUCUUUCAUUAUCAGUAACCCACUCACUCCUCCACCCCGCUAAUCUCCCCUGAAAGAGGGUAAAAGGGCCAUAAAUAUAGUAGUUAAAUGUCAGCCAGGAACAUUAAUCACAAUGCAUUUCCAAUGCGUUACACCAGGGCGCCUGUAAACAUGUCUGACUAGAAAGAUAUUAAACAUGGACCCAGGGGGAUGUCAUUCUCGUAUUGAAUUUAACAUGCAGCAUAUUUAUAGGAGCUUGGCUCACAAAUUAAUUUCUAAUAAAUCAAUCUGUCUUGCCUGUUGCCAUGCAACUAGGGUUUAUUCUGGUGGGGUAGUGGUUACUAUUUGUAUACAGAGCAUAUGCAAUUCAAACAUAUAACAGUAUAUGUGAAUUAAUUUAGUAUAUCCUUCUGAAAAAAAAGAGCAACAUUUAAAAAAGAAAAAAGGGAAACAAAGGUGUGUUUAAUGACUUGUUUUGAAAACCUAAGCCGUCAACAUGCCCUGGGAAGGUCAUUGUAACCUUUGUCAGCCCCAGCAAGGGAGUCACUGAAGCAGGAGUUCGGCAAUACCAAGAGACCAAGGCUUAAUCAUUGAGCUGUUUUGUUGCUUUGAAAGUUCUUGUAAAUGCGUCAGUUUAACACACUACAGAACGCUCUGAAUGUCAGGCACACGCAGCUCAGAGCGAUUACCUGCAAGCUGCUCCAGGAAGCUAGAAAUCAAACCUGCCUCAGUCUCAAUCUCACUUCAGCAUUUCCAGCAAGUCCCUGCGACUGUUAUUUAUCACACCAGCUGCUCUUGCCAACAGCUUUGCUGUGUAUAUAACUAUGUUUAUUCGUACUGCAUGCCAUCCAUUUAAUUAGGCACAUAAAUAUUCAAGAACGCGACUGUUUAGUUAUUCAUUUUCAAGGCCUACUACAUGCAUCUGGUUACUUGCUGACCUCUACACAGCUCUUCUCCAUGGCUGACAGUCUCAAUACAGAUUCUUGCUAUGGCUAACUGUCCAGAGUACCAUGACUGAUAGAGGGUGCUAUACAUGCAGGUGUCUCCCCUAUACUGUCAUUGGCAGGGAUCGGUAUCCCACUCUAAGAAAAAUCCUUCAUUGUAGUCUACUGCUAAAGCUGCCAUGUUUACAUGUUUUGUAAACUUGUAAAGCACCUGCAGUAAAAUGAACGGCAACGUUUAAACAAUGGAUGGGACCUUUUGUCUAGAAAAAUAAAUCGUGGAAUAUUACAUUUAUGAAAACAAACAAACAAAAAAACAUUAAUUGGGCGUUAUACAGUACAUAAGCUGUACAUAAUACACAGGUUGAAAUAAUCAAUCCGAUAAAUCUGAAUUAUUUGCAGACAGGUGCUUGUGUGGUGGAGUAAAGAGCAUUUGGAAAACAACAAGGUUAAUUUACUAAAGCAGGAUGCUAUGCACACACCGACUGUGGCUAUCAGUUUCAAUGAACGUUCUGCAAACAUGACAAACAUUUGUCAGCCUGUACUGUAGCUCUUCCAAGUACCACAAAUAUCUGGAAAGAUGUACACGUCAGGUGCAAUAAAGUAAACUGAACAGUUUAUCAUUUGACACUAAAUCUACAUACCAACUCAAGCAAUGAUCUCACAGUGUACUUAAAGUCUACAUUGCUGAAACAGUGCUCCCCAUUCAUGAAUCUAUUCAGAACGUGCUGAAUCAGGAGCUGCUUGUAGAUAAUGUGUAGUGUGCUAUUAUUAUUAAUUAGUCAUUUAGCUGACUCUUUUAUCCAAAGUGACUAGGGUGCGAACUAUGCAUCAACAACUGCUGCUGCAGAGUCACUUACAAGAAGACAUCAGUUUUACGUCUCAUCUGAAGGAUGGAGCACAAGGAGGUUAAGUGACUUGCUCAGGGUCACACACACACACACACAGAGUGACUGAGCCGGGAUUUGAAUCAGGAACCUCUUGGUAUCAAGCCCUUUGCUUUAACCACAUUUAACCCCUCAUAAUUGAGCCCAGGUCUGGUACCUACCUUCAUCGCCUCUGGUCUUCCUUGCCUUCUCGAUCAGCUGCUCUUUUAUCAGGAGCCCAGCCUUCACCACCUUGGCUAGCUGCUUCAAAGUCUCUCGCUCCUUCUUCCCCAGCUCCCUGGCAAGCAGGCAGGGAUCCGAUCAGAGCCAGUCUACAGCAAUGGUGCACACCUCGUCCAUGUGUAAUGGACGCUGGGUUUUCACAGAGCUAACUUUAUUAAGUGUACUGCAACAUUCUCCAGCAUUUCAUACCUUGAAAACAAAGGCUCACUAAUGCAUCAAGAACCUAAUCACAUUUUUGCAUCUUGUUUCAUUAGCGGUAUUCAACAGUGAGUUAAUGACCACCAAUUGUGACGAAACCUGCUUAGGACAUUCUUUACAGCAACUUUUCAAUAGUGUCCGAAUCUGAGGGUACUUCUGCAGUUUUCCAUGAUUACACUACACAUGUACCAUGCUUUUUAAUAUGUGUUACCAUAUCUCUCUCUGCUUUACAAUGCCCAUUUAUGCUUUACCAUCCACACAAUAAGCUUUAUUACACUUAAUAUGCUACAAUGGGAAACUUGGUAAGGGUCUGUAGUGAUGGCUUUCUGCAUGAGGUAUUAAUUAUGUUAUUAAUUAUAUGUUUUACAUUAUGUGUGUGUCUUUUAUAAUUAAGUUGUUUUUAAUCAUUAUGUUUAAAUUGUGUGAAUGUGUUUUUUUUUAUGUGCUUACUAAUUCAGUUGCUUUAAUAUGCUUUUAUGUUAAGUUUUUAUACAGUAUUGUGUAAGUUUCGAGUUCUUUCAUUUCCCAUCGGCAAAACCAGCUACGUGCAGUUUUGCACAGCCUAACAAAACUCAAAGUCACAGAUAGGUGUCUGAGCUAAAUGCCAAAAGGCAGGAUAUUAGCAGAGAUAGUGUGAGAUGGGGGGAGGGGAAAUAAAAGGCAAGAUGGAUGUGCCCUGUUAGGUACAACGUGGUAUGCAUUGUCGGUGGGUGUGCUUGUUUUUGUGCUACUAACGAUGUAAGAUACAAGUGUCCAUAGUGUGAAGGAACUGGUUCUUCGU